CUCUGGCGACAUCUUUUUGUAGAUGGAGAUGCAAAAGUUGUAAACCACAAGUACGACCAACGCUGCCUUCUGAUUAGCUGGGAAUUGCAAAGAUGAAUUUCCUUCUAAUUAGUUUCUAUGGAAAGCUUACAGGAAAAGAAGGCUUUGACAGGCUAGCCAAAUGACGAGCUGUCUUGAUUUUGUGAACAUAGAAGAGGAAGAGUUUUGAAUCCGGGAUGUAUGCGUGAAAACCCUAACACCUUAUCCAUUAGAAUAUUAAACCACAUGCAAAAGAAGAAUGUAAGCUAAAAUAGCUAAUAUUGUUGAAGGUGGUGGCUAGCCAAAUUAACAUUUUGAGUCAUUUGGCUAGUUACAAUAACAAAAAUUUAGCUAGUACUGUUGGAGAUGCACGACAAUCAAACAUUU
rnacentral:lncRNA from 1 species